rnacentral:piRNA from 1 species
UUGUGCUGGACAGUUCUUAGAAUUGGU